GGGACACGUGGUAUCCUGUCUGAAUAUGGGGGGACCAUCCUCCAAGGCUAAAUACUCCUGACUGACCGAUAGUGAACCAGUACCGUGAGGGAAAGGCGAAAAGAACCCCGGCGAGGGGAGUGAAAAAGAACCUGAAACCGUGUACGUACAAGCAGUGGGAGCACGCUUAGGCGUGUGACUGCGUACCUUUUGUAUAAUGGGUCAGCGACUUAUAUUCUGUAGCAAGGUUAACCGAAUAGGGGAGCCGAAGGGAAACCGAGUCUUAACUGGGCGUUAAGUUGCAGGGUAUAGACCCGAAACCCGGUGAUCUAGCCAUGGGCAGGUUGAAGGUUGGGUAACACUAACUGGAGGACCGAACCGACUAAUGUUGAAAAAUUAGCGGAUGACUUGUGGCUGGGGGUGAAAGGCCAAUCAAACCGGGAGAUAGCUGGUUCUCCCCGAAAGCUAUUUAGGUAGCGCCUCGUGAAUUCAUCUCCGGGGGUAGAGCACUGUUUCGGCAAGGGGGUCAUCCCGACUUACCAACCCGAUGCAAACUGCGAAUACCGGAGAAUGUUAUCACGGGAGACACACGGCGGGUGCUAACGUCCGUCGUGAAGAGGGAAACAACCCAGACCGCCAGCUAAGGUCCCAAAGUCAUGGUUAAGUGGGAAACGAUGUGGGAAGGCCCAGACAGCCAGGAUGUUGGCUUAGAAGCAGCCAUCAUUUAAAGAAAGCGUAAUAGCUCACUGGUCGAGUCGGCCUGCGCGGAAGAUGUAACGGGGCUAAACCAUGCACCGAAGCUGCGGCAGCGACGCUUAUGCGUUGUUGGGUAGGGGAGCGUUCUGUAAGCCUGCGAAGGUGUGCUGUGAGGCAUGCUGGAGGUAUCAGAAGUGCGAAUGCUGACAUAAGUAACGAUAAAGCGGGUGAAAAGCCCGCUCGCCGGAAGACCAAGGGUUCCUGUCCAACGUUAAUCGGGGCAGGGUGAGUCGACCCCUAAGGCGAGGCCGAAAGGCGUAGUCGAUGGGAAACAGGUUAAUAUUCCUGUACUUGGUGUUACUGCGAAGGGGGGACGGAGAAGGCUAUGUUGGCCGGGCGACGGUUGUCCCGGUUUAAGCGUGUAGGCUGGUUUUCCAGGCAAAUCCGGAAAAUCAAGGCUGAGGCGUGAUGACGAGGCACUACGGUGCUGAAGCAACAAAUGCCCUGCUUCCAGGAAAAGCCUCUAAGCAUCAGGUAACAUCAAAUCGUACCCCAAACCGACACAGGUGGUCAGGUAGAGAAUACCAAGGCGCUUGAGAGAACUCGGGUGAAGGAACUAGGCAAAAUGGUGCCGUAACUUCGGGAGAAGGCACGCUGAUAUGUAGGUGAAGUCCCUCGCGGAUGGAGCUGAAAUCAGUCGAAGAUACCAGCUGGCUGCAACUGUUUAUUAAAAACACAGCACUGUGCAAACACGAAAGUGGACGUAUACGGUGUGACGCCUGCCCGGUGCCGGAAGGUUAAUUGAUGGGGUUAGCGCAAGCGAAGCUCUUGAUCGAAGCCCCGGUAAACGGCGGCCGUAACUAUAACGGUCCUAAGGUAGCGAAAUUCCUUGUCGGGUAAGUUCCGACCUGCACGAAUGGCGUAAUGAUGGCCAGGCUGUCUCCACCCGAGACUCAGUGAAAUUGAACUCGCUGUGAAGAUGCAGUGUACCCGCGGCAAGACGGAAAGACCCCGUGAACCUUUACUAUAGCUUGACACUGAACAUUGAGCCUUGAUGUGUAGGAUAGGUGGGAGGCUUUGAAGUGUGGACGCCAGUCUGCAUGGAGCCGACCUUGAAAUACCACCCUUUAAUGUUUGAUGUUCUAACGUGGACCCGUAAUCCGGGUUGCGGACAGUGUCUGGUGGGUAGUUUGACUGGGGCGGUCUCCUCCUAAAGAGUAACGGAGGAGCACGAAGGUUGGCUAAUCCUGGUCGGACAUCAGGAGGUUAGUGCAAUGGCAUAAGCCAGCUUGACUGCGAGCGUGACGGCGCGAGCAGGUGCGAAAGCAGGUCAUAGUGAUCCGGUGGUUCUGAAUGGAAGGGCCAUCGCUCAACGGAUAAAAGGUACUCCGGGGAUAACAGGCUGAUACCGCCCAAGAGUUCAUAUCGACGGCGGUGUUUGGCACCUCGAUGUCGGCUCAUCACAUCCUGGGGCUGAAGUAGGUCCCAAGGGUAUGGCUGUUCGCCAUUUAAAGUGGUACGCGAGCUGGGUUUAGAACGUCGUGAGACAGUUCGGUCCCUAUCUGCCGUGGGCGCUGGAGAACUGAGGGGGGCUGCUCCUAGUACGAGAGGACCGGAGUGGACGCAUCACUGGUGUUCGGGUUGUCAUGCCAAUGGCACUGCCCGGUAGCUAAAUGCGGAAGAGAUAAGUGCUGAAAGCAUCUAAGCACGAAACUUGCCCCGAGAUGAGUUCUCCCUGACUCCUUGAG
rnacentral:rRNA from 1 species